rnacentral:tRNA from 2 species
GCCAACAUAGCUCAGUUGGUAGAGCAGCGCUUUCGUAAAGCGCGGGUCGCUGGUUCAAGUCCAGUUGUUGGCUCCA